GACGAACGCUGGCGGCGUGCUUAACACAUGCAAGUCGAACGAUGAAGCCGGAGCUUGCUCCGGUGGAUUAGUGGCGAACGGGUGAGUAACACGUGAGCAAUCUGCCCUUGACUCUGGGAUAACUGCGGGAAACUGUAGCUAAUACCGGAUACGACACCUUGGGGCAUCCCAGGGUGUGGAAAGAAUUUCGGUCAAGGAUGAGCUCGCGGCCUAUCAGCUAGUUGGUGAGGUAAUGGCUCACCAAGGCGACGACGGGUAGCCGGCCUGAGAGGGUGAACGGCCACCGUGGAACUGAGACACGGUCCAGACUCCUACGGGAGGCAGCAGUGGGGAAUAUUGCACAAUGGGCGAAAGCCUGAUGCAGCAACGCCGCGUGAGGGAUGAAGGCCUUCGGGUUGUAAACCUCUUUUAGCAGGGAAGAAGCGAAAGUGACGGUACCUGCAGAAAAAGCACCGGCUAACUACGUGCCAGCCGCCGCCGUAA
rnacentral:rRNA from 1 species